GACGAACGCUGGCGGCGUGCUUAACACAUGCAAGUCGAACGGAAAGGCCCUGCUUGCGGUGUACUCGAGUGGAACACGGGUGUGUCACGCGUGUGAGCUCCGCCCUUCACUUCGGGAUAAGCUUGGGACACUGGGUCUAAUACCGGAUAGGCACGCUCUUCAUCGUGGUGGUUGGAAAGUUUUUUUGGUGUAGGAUGGGCUCGCGGCCUAUCAGCUUGUUGGUGGGGUAAUGGCCUACCAAGGCGCCGACGGGUAGCCGGCCUGAGAGGGUGUACGGCCACAUUGGGACUGAGAUACGGCCCAGACUCCUACGGGAGGCAGCAGUGGGGAAUAUUGCACAAUGGGCGGAAGCCUGAUGCAGCAACGCCGCGUGGGGGAUGAAGGCCUUCGGGUUGUAAACCGCUUUCGAUAGUGACGAAGCGUUGUUGUGACGGUAGCAGGAGAAGAAGCACCGGCUAACUACGUG
rnacentral:rRNA from 1 species